GACGAACGCUGGCGGCGUGCCUAAUACAUGCAAGUUGAGCGCUGAAGGUUGGUACUUGUACCAACUGGAUGAGCAGCGAACGGGUGAGUAACGCGUGGGGAAUCUGCCUUUGAGCGGGGGACAACAUUUGGAAACGAAUGCUAAUACCGCAUAAAAACUUUAAACACAAGUUUUAAGUUUGAAAGAUGCAAUUGCAUCACUCAAAGAUGAUCCCGCGUUGUAUUAGCUAGUUGGUGAGGUAAAGGCUCACCAAGGCGAUGAUACAUAGCCGACCUGAGAGGGUGAUCGGCCACAUUGGGACUGAGACACGGCCCAAACUCCUACGGGAGGCAGCAGUAGGGAAUCUUCGGCAAUGGACGAAAGUCUAACCGAGCAACGCCGCGUGAGUGAAGAAGGUUUUCGGAUCGUAAAACUCUGUUGGUAGAGAAGAACGUUGGUGAGAGUGGAAAGCUCAUCAAGUGACGGUAACUACCCAGAAAGGGACGGCUAACUACGUG
rnacentral:rRNA from 1 species